AUGUUGCUGUUCUUGUUCUUCUCGGUGACCCAAACAGAAGACUCAGUGACCCAAAGAGAAGACUCAGUGACCCAAAUGGAAGGCCGUGUUACUCUCACCGAGGGAGACCCUCUGAUACUGAACUGCACUUACCAGACGAUUUAUCCAGGUCCUGUCCUUUUCUGGUAUGUCCAGUAUGUUGACAGAGGCCCUCGGCUCCUCCUGAAGAGUGCAACAGAAAACCAGCGGGCAGAGAAUCAAGGGUUUGAGGCCACGCUUGUCAAGAGCCCCAGCUCCUUCCACCUGCAGAAACCCUCACUUCAGCUGGCGGAUUCUGCCCUGUACUAUUGUGCCCUGGGGACACAGUGA